rnacentral:misc_RNA from 1 species
GUGAAUCAUCGAAUUUUUGAACGCAAAUUGCACUCUCUUCGGAGAGUAUGACUGUUUGAGGGUCAGCCUAAAAAUAAUUGAAGUAGUCGCUGUUUCGUGGUUACAUUCGUCGGAAAUUGGGUCUUCUUAAACUUUUGGGCUUUUUAAGCGGCUUAAAUUUUUCUUUACGUUUCUACGACGGUUUUAAAUAUUUUACUUUUUAUUCACGUUUAAGAAUUCGAUCUUUAUUAGACGUGGCGGUUG